rnacentral:rRNA from 1 species
UACGUAGGGGGCAAGCGUUGUCCGGAUUUAUUGGGCGUAAAGAGCGUGUAGGCGGCUAGAUAGGUCCGUUGUGAAAACUCGAGGCUCAACCUCGAGACGUCGAUGGAAACCAUCUGGCUAGAGUCCGGAAGAGGAGAGUGGAAUUCCUGGUGUAGCGGUGAAAUGCGCAGAUAUCAGGAAGAACACCGGUGGCGAAGGCGGUCUGCUGGGCAGUAGCUGACGCUGAGGCGCGACAGCGUGGGGAGCAAACAGG